GGUUGUGCCUAUGCAGCAGUUCAGUAUUUCAUUGCAAAAUUAGUAUGCGGAUUAUUUGUUACUAGCAAAACAGUCGAGCAUUAUGUUUUUUACUAAUAGCUUUUAAAAAAACUAUUUGCAGGUUGCCGCCAUUGAACUGCCAUAAUUUCGACGAAAUCGACGCCUCCAAUCUGCCCCUCUUUGUAUCACGUUGCAAGAAGAAGCGAUUACGGAUUCACAAGCACGAUUCAAGAUGAAAUCCGCCUUCUGCACAACUGUAUACCAGACUUACUUUAUUUAGAUUAUUUAAAUAAAACGAUCCAGUCGACAUAACAUAUUAUGUUAUUAGGUAACAAGUCUGAAGAAUUAACCGUUAAAAUAUGUAUAAUAAAAAUGUUAAUAAAUA